rnacentral:miRNA from 1 species
AAUAUUUUAAUAAUUCAAUCGUCA